CGUUUUGUCAUAGUUCUGUUUUUCUGCAAGUCCGUGCACGCAGCUCAUCGGUAGAUGCACGGGUGCACGGCGUCGCAUUGCGACCUGCGGCAUUUUCUCGUGUUCGCGCAAUCGGUGUGAAACAUGUCGCAUGUGAAAUAUUUGAUAGAAGUGCCUCACGUCCAAGUCAAGCCGCCGUACGAGUGUAUGGCUGUGUGCGCCGUUCUCGGAAGCGUCGACGGGUUUCCGGCAUGCGGAUUUCAGCGUUUGGACUCGACUUUUGGUGAGGAUGUCGAUCGACCUUGGGCCUGGUGACAGCACACCCGACAUGGCCAAAGUGCAGCCUAUCAGUUUAGUGCCCCCGAAUGGACCAUCAGCAUCGGAAAAUGAAGCAGAGCCAGGGGGAAAAGGUUCCGGUAACACCAUGCAUUCAGUAUGGUGGCCCAGACGUGUAUGCAAGCAACCUCCUUCACGUGGACCAAGAACUACUCUGCAGUGUCUCGCAGACUUCCAUGCGAAGCCCUCAACAUUCUCGUCUCAGUGGAAUGGCUGCUCAUCUAUCUGCGUGUCCAUCACCAAGACGGCCAGUUGUAAUGCGAAUUUCAGUAUCUUCACAACACGUGUGUUAAACUGAAGUAGUCUUCUUGAUGUUUCCUUUUUUUACUUCCUUACUUCCCGAUAUGUUUAACUGAUGUCUUCAUACCUUGUCAUGUUCUUAUGCUGCGGUUUUUUGCAGUCACCUAUAUAUAUAUAUAUAUAUAUAUAUAUAUAUAUAUAUGUUCUUCGUUUCAAUAAAAAUUUAGUUGAGAGUUAGCGCUCAUCCUGUCUGCUUCUAGUCUGUGUCCGUGUCACUUCGCGCUACAAUCCAAGAUCAUGUUACUGUACCAACUCGCCCAACUUUCUAUCCUUGUGUUAACAUAGACACACUCAGACUUGUUCUUACUUAUGUGACCGGUUAUUUUUGUACUUUAUAAUAAGAUUCAGUGCUUUUCGAAGGAAAACGUGAUAGUUCGUAGUGAGGUUAUUUAAAAAAAGCUGUUCUGCUUAAAAUUUAAUUGAGCAAGCCUGUGCCAUUAUUCGGUGCUUAUGUCUUUGUAUUGGUAUGGUUUUACUCCUCGUCCUCUUUAAUUUUAAAAUGUGCAAACAUUAUUAUGUUACCAUUUCCCUUUAAUGAAAUAAUAAAUACUUUUCUUCUCACA